rnacentral:rRNA from 1 species
CCUACGGGUGGCAGCAGUAGGGAAUAUUGCUCAAUGGGGGAAACCCUGAAGCAGCAACGCCGCGUGGGGGAUGAAGGUUCUAGGAUUGUAAACCCCUUUUGUUAGAGAAGAUUAUGACGGCAUGUAACGCAUAAGCACCGGCUAACUACGUGCCAGCAGCCGCGGUAAUACGGAGGGUGCAAGCGGUACUCGGAAUCACUGGGCGUAAAGGGUGCGUAGGCGGGGUAAUAAGUCAGAUGGGAAAUCCUGUAGCUUAACUACAGAACUGCAUUUGAAACUGUUACUCUGGAGUGUGGGAGAGGUAGGUGGAAUGCUUGGUGUAGCGGUAAAAUCCAUAGAGAUCAAGAAGAAUACUCAUUGCGAAGGCGGCCUGCUGGCGCAUUACUGACGCUGAUGCACGAAAGCGUGGGGAGCGAACAGGAUUAGAUACCCCAGUAGUC